rnacentral:lncRNA from 1 species
AAGCUCAGAGUAAACAGAUUUGGUUCUGUUGGGCGCCAGGUCAUUAGAGCUGCUUUCACUACCAGCAAAGUGGACCUAAGUUGCCAUCAAUGACUCCUCCAUUGACCUUGACCUCAUAGCCUACAUGGUCCAAUAUGAAUCCAUCACGGCAAGUUCAAGGGCAGCAACAAGGUUGAGAACAGAAAGCUAUGAUCAGUGGGAAGUCCACCUCCAUCUGCCAGACACCAGAUCCCAAAGAGGGCAUUGCUGCCUUCAUCACCCUAGAGAUGCUUGGAGCUCAUCUGAAGAAUGGCAUCAAAGGGGCAUCAUUCUGUCCCUUGUGCUGAUGGUCUGUGUUUGAGAUGAGGGUGACCUACUCCCUUUAGAUUUCCAGCAUGCCAUCUGCUUGUUCCCCCAGAAGGGUCUAUGACAACCAUGGCAUCAUAAAAGUACUCAUGACCACUGCCUGUGCCCUCUCUGCCCAUCUGGCAAGCUGUGGUGCGAUGGCCAUGGGACUGUUCAGAGUGUAUUCAGUGGCACUGCCAAGGCUGUGGCAAGGUCAUUCCUGAGCUGAACAGGAAGCUUGCUGACACAGCCUCCUAUGUCCCCACCCUCAGUGUGUCUGUCCAGGAUCUGACCUGCCAUCUAGAAAAAGCUGUUGAGCACAGUGACAUCAAGAAAAUGUGAUGCGGGCACCUGGGGGGUCAUUGAAAGAAAUUCCGGGCUACACUGAAGACCACGUUGUCGCUUGCAACUGUAACAGUGAUGCCCACUUCUCCACCUGUCACACUGGGGCUGGCAUUGCCCACAACCACCAGUUGGUCAAGCCUACUUCCUGGUACUGUGAUGAUGUUUGGCUACAACAACUGCAGGGUGGACUUCCUGGUCCACAUGACCUCUGAGGACUAAGGGCU